rnacentral:lncRNA from 1 species
AAGCAGCUGGCACAUGCCCCCACCCGCUCUCGCGCGCCACCUACGUCCCAAUUUUGCGUGGUCACGUGACCAGCUGUGUUUAACCGGCCUCCGGAAGUAGUGCUGCCUAGCUCGGUGCUCUUUGAAACCGAAACUGCGACUGGG